rnacentral:tRNA from 1 species
GCCCCGGUAGCUCAGCAGGAUAGAGCGUCGGUUUCCUAAACCGUAGGUCGGAGGUUCGAGUCCUCUCCGGGGUACCA